rnacentral:rRNA from 1 species
UACAGAGGGUGCUAGCGUUGUUCGGAAUCAUUGGGCGUAAAGGGCGUGUAGGCGGUUUGUUAAGUCAUGUGUGAAAUCCCUCGGCUCAACCGGGGACGACGCAUGAAACUGGCAGCUAGAGUACCAAAGAGGGGGGUGGAAUUCCCGGUGUGAGCGGUGAAAUGCGUAGAUAUCGGGAGGAACACCUGUGGCGAAGGCGGCCCCCUGGUUGGAUACUGACGCUGAUACGCGAAAAGCGUGGGGGAGCAAACAGGG